rnacentral:rRNA from 1 species
GAUGAACGCUGGCGGCAGGCCUAACACAUGCAAGUCGAGCGACCGCACGAGAAGCUCUUGCUUCUAACGUUGGCGACGGGCGGACGGGUGACAAGUACAUAACCAACCUAUAAAUCUGGGGGGACUACGGGAAACAAGGGCUGAUACCGGCUCAUAAUUUGAACAGCUUGGUUCAAAAGUGCAAGACAGUCUUGCCGUUUCUUAUAGAUGAUUCCGCGCUGCAUUAGCUAGUUGGUAAGGUAACGGCACACCACGGCAACGAUGCGUAGCUGACCUGAGAGGGUGAUCAGGCACACUGGAACGGAGACACGGCACAGACUCCUACGGGAGGCAGCAGUGGGGAAUCUACCACAAUGGGCGAAAGCCUGAUCGAGCCAAGCCGCGUGAGUGAAGAAGGGCUUCGGAUCGUAAAACUCUGUUAUUAGGAAAGAACAAAAGUGUGGGGAACUCAGCCUAUCUUGACGGUACCUAAUGAAUAAGCAACGGCUAACUACGUG